CGGCANCGCGGGGCANCCUGGCGGCGAGUGGCGAANGGGUGAGUAAUAUAUCGGAACGUGCCCUGGAGUGGGGGAUAACGCAGCGAAAGUUGCGCUAAUACCGCAUACGAUCUAAGGAUGAAAGCGGGGGAUUCGCAAGAACCUCGUGCUCCUGGAGCGGCCGAUAUCUGAUUAGCUAGUUGGUGGGGUAAAGGCCUACCAAGGCAUCGAUCAGUAGCUGGUCUGAGAGGACGACCAGCCACACUGGAACUGAGACACGGUCCAGACUCCUACGGGAGGCAGCAGUGGGGAAUUUUGGACAAUGGGCGAAAGCCUGAUCCAGCAAUGCCGCGUGAGUGAAGAAGGCCUUCGGGUUGUAAAGCUCUUUUGUCAGGGAAGAAACGGUGAAGGCUAAUAUCCUUUGCUAAUGACGGUACCUGAAGAAUAAGCACCGGCUAACUACGUGCCAGCAGCCGCGGUAAUACGUAGGGUGCAAGCGUUAAUCGGAAUUACUGGGCGUAAAGCGUGCGCAGGCGGUUUUGUAAGUCUGUCGUGAAACCCCCGGGCUCAACCUGGGAAUUGCGAUGGAGACUGCAAGGCUAGAAUCUGGCAGAGGGGGGUAGAAUUCCACGUGUAGCAGUGAAAUGCGUAGAGAUGUGGAGGAACACCGAUGGCGAAGGCAGCCCCCUGGGUCAAGAUUGACGCUCAUGCACGAAAGCGUGGGGAGCAAACAGGAUUAGAUACCCUGGUAGUCCACGCCCUAAACGAUGUCUACUAGUUGUCGGGUUUUAAUUAACUUGGUAACGCAGCUAACGCGUGAAGUAGACCGCCUGGGGGAGUACGGUCGCAAGANUAAAACUCAAGGAAUUGACGGGGACCCGCACAAGCGGUGGAUGAUGUGGNUUAAUUCGAUGCNACGCGAAAAACCUUACCUACCCUUGACAUGUACGGAAGCCACGANANNUCNNANNNGUGCUCNAA
rnacentral:rRNA from 1 species